rnacentral:snRNA from 15 species
AAACUUACCUGGCAGGGGAGACACCACAAUCAGGCAAGUGGUUUUCCCAGGGCGAGGCUCAUCCCCUGCACUUCAGGUGUGCUGACCCCUGCAUUAAAAUCUGGAGAACAAGCCGUAUGAGGAGUGGCUGAGGGAACUGGGGUUGUUUCUCC